CUGGAGCUCGGACGCGAGUUCU
rnacentral:snRNA from 1 species